rnacentral:rRNA from 1 species
GAUGAACGCUGGCGGCGUGCCUAACACAUGCAAGUCGAGCGAUUUACUUCGGUAAAGAGCGGCGGACGGGUGAGUAACGCGUGGGUAACCUGCCCUGUACACACGGAUAACAUACCGAAAGGUAUGCUAAUACGAGAUAAUAUGCUUUUGUCGCAUGGUAGAAGUAUCAAAGCUCCGGCGGUACAGGAUGGACCCGCGUCUGAUUAGCUAGUUGGUAAGGUAACGGCUUACCAAGGCGACGAUCAGUAGCCGACCUGAGAGGGUGAUCGGCCACAUUGGAACUGAGACACGGUCCAAACUCCUACGGGAGGCAGCAGUGGGGAAUAUUGCACAAUGGGCGAAAGCCUGAUGCAGCAACGCCGCGUGAGCGAUGAAGGCCUUCGGGUCGUAAAGCUCUGUCCUCAAGGAAGAUAAUGACGGUACUUGAGGGGGAAGCCCCGGCUAACUACGUGCCAGCAGCCGCGGUAAUACGUAGGGGGCUAGCGUUAUCCGGAAUUACUGGGCGUAAAGGGUGCGUAGGUGGUUUCUUAAGUCAGAGGUGAAAGGCUACGGCUCAACCGUAGUAAGCCUUUGAAACUGGGAAACUUGAGUGCAGGAGAGGAGAGUGGAAUUCCUAGUGUAGCGGUGAAAUGCGUAGAUAUUAGGAGGAACACCAGUUGCGAAGGCGGCUCUCUGGACUGUAACUGACACUGAGGCACGAAAGCGUGGGGAGCAAACAGGAUUAGAUACCCUGGUAGUCCACGCCGUAAACGAUGA